CGGGGUGUGGCGCAGCUUGGUAGCGCGUCCGCUUUGGGAGCGGAAGGUCGUCGGUUCGAAUCCGGCCACCCCCCCGACCA
rnacentral:tRNA from 1 species